rnacentral:rRNA from 1 species
UACGCAGGGGGCUAGCGUUGUUCGGAUUUACUGGGCGUAAAGGGCGCGUAGGCGGAUUUUUAAGUCGGGGGUGAAAUCCCGGCGCUCAACUCCGGAACUGCCUUCGAUACUGAAAGUCUGGAGCACGGUAGAGGUGAGUGGAAUUCCGAGUGUAGAGGUGAAAUUCGUAGAUAUUCGGAGGAACACCAGUGGCGAAGGCGGCUCACUGGACCGUUGCUGACGCUGAGGCGAGAAAGCGUGGGGAGCAAACAGG